rnacentral:rRNA from 1 species
AGCGACGGGAGCAAUCCUGGUGGCGAGUGGCGAACGGGUGAGUAAUAUAUCGGAACGUGCCCAGUCGUGGGGGAUAACGUAGCGAAAGCUACGCUAAUACCGCAUACGAUCUAUGGGAUGAAAGCGGGGGAUCGCAAGACCUCGCGCGAUUGGAGCGGCCGAUAUCAGAUUAGGUAGUUGGUGAGGUAAAGGCUCACCAAGCCGACGAUCUGUAGCUGGUCUGAGAGGACGACCAGCCACACUGGGACUGAGACACGGCCCAGACUCCUACGGGAGGCAGCAGUGGGGAAUUUUGGACAAUGGGCGCAAGCCUGAUCCAGCCAUGCCGCGUGCAGGAUGACGGUCCUAUGGAUUGUAAACUGCUUUUGUACAGGAAGAAACACUACUUCGUGAAGUAGCUUGACGGUACUGUAAGAAUAAGGAUCGGCUAACUCCGUG